AACACGACUCUCGGCAACGGAUAUCUCGGCUCUCGCAUCGAUGAAGAACGUAGCAAAAUGCGAUACCUGGUGUGAAUUGCAGAAUCCCGCGAACCAUCGAGUUUUUGAACGCAAGUUGCGCCCGAGGCCUUCCGGCCGAGGGCACGCCUGCCUGGGCGUCACGC
rnacentral:rRNA from 1 species